rnacentral:rRNA from 1 species
ACAGAGGGUGCGAGCGUUAAUCGGAAUUACUGGGCGUAAAGCGUACGUAGGCGGUUAAGUUAGUCGAAUGUGAAAGCCCAAGGCUUAACCUUGGAAUUGCAUCCGAUACUGCUUGACUAGAGUACAGUAGAGAAAAGCGGAAUUCCAUGUGUAGCGGUGAAAUGCGUAGAUAUAUGGAGGAACACCAGUGGCGAAGGCGGCUUUUUGGACUGAUACUGACGCUGAGGUACGAAAGCGUGGGGAGCAAACAGG